GGGGCGGGGAGAUCCCCUUGAACAGGGUUACGCUGCUACUUCCGUUAAGGCCGGGGCAAGUGGAGGCGGCGCUGUGCAUUGUGGGUGGCGAGAGGCUGAUUUGGAUUCCCUCUCACGGCCACCAUUGGUGGUUCGCGAGCUUCUGAAGUGGCGGCUCGCUGGCUGGGCCUCCUCUACGUCGACUCAGCCAGAAGAAUGUGGUGCAGGUUCAGGAGUUUACUGGCUGCACUCCGACCUUUGGCCUUGGCUGUCGCCCAAGUGGGAUUGUCGCACAGCAGUCAAACCCAUAGCAUCAGUAUCUGUCCCAUGACCUCCUCCUGCACCUAGCCUGGCACAGCAGUCAACCCAUGACACCUGGCUCUGUCUCGUGACCUCCUGCACAUAGCCUGGCACAGCAGUCAACCCAUGGCACCUGGGUUGUUGUGAUAUCACCAUUAUGUAGUGGAAAAUUACGGCUGUUGUCGUUGUGAGUUUAUAGGUUUGUGUGAGUAAUGGUGCGUGUGUGACUUUAAUGACGUGUGUGAGAGUAGGAUGGUAGGGGUGUGUGAGUGUCAUGGUGAGUGUGGGUGUGUGAGUAUUAUGGUGAGUGUGGGUGUGUGAGUAUUAUGGUGAGUGUGUGGGUGUGUUAGAUGGCUGGCAAUGUUGGUGGGUGGUGAUGAUGAUGCAAGCCUUGUGCUCGAGAAUGGCACACUGAAACUAAUAUCAUGUAGCUACUUCUGAGUACCCUUCAAGUGCUGUCUGGUCCACAUUGUAAAGGGCAGGACUUUCCCACCUGCUCUUUAUUUAAGAGCAACGUUGGUCACAACAAUGUUAUUACUUCUUACAGCUGGAAUUUAUCCUAAGUACAUGGAGAACCACAUUGCAGCCAUGUGAUAGUUGAUGUUGUGCAGUGAAUGAUGACCGGGCUGAGACCAUUAACUCGCUCGACUUGAGAAUCUGCUUUGAUCACAGGUGACUGCCUGGAUUCAAUCCCAGGUACUCCGUGGUGCCAAUUCAGUGCUAUGACCGCAAGGUCCAUGGGCCACCUCUAAACACCCCCACGUUAAAGACAUAAGCAGCAACCUGUUUAGUGAGCAGCAGCAUUCUUUAAAUAUUUUUCCAAAGCAAUUGGGAUUGUGGAGCAGUGGCACAGUCCUGCAUUUUCUUUCUCUUUAAUCCACCAAAUGCAACUUGCCGCUCGAUUGUGGCGCACCCA